AAAGAGCUGUUCUGACCCCAAAAAUGGUACUGGCAGCAACCGUAGACUAUUAACAUUUUGAUAACAAAUACAUCCUUUCAUCAUUUUUGAUGGUAGAAAGUAUGCUGAUUUGAGGAUCUCUUAUAGCUAAAAGGGUUGUGUUCCUACUCCGAAGUGAU